rfam:Transmissible gastroenteritis virus complete genome, genomic RNA
CUACUCUUGUACAGAAUGGUAAGCACGUGUAAUAGGAGGUACAAGCAACCCUAUUGCAUAUUA